AAUCAACGCUGGCGGCGUGCCUAACACAUGCAAGUCGCACGAGAAAGGGACUUCGGUCCUGAGUACAGUGGCGCACGGGUGAGUAACACGUGAAUAAUCUACCUUCGAGUGGGGAAUAACUGAGAGAAAUCUUAGCUAAUACCGCAUAAUACCUACGGGUCAAAGCAGCAAUGCGCUUGAAGAGGAGUUCGCGGCAGAUUAGUUAGUUGGCAGGGUAAUGGCCUACCAAGACGAUGAUCUGUAUCCGGCCUGAGAGGGCGCACGGACACACUGGAACUGAACACGGUCCAGACUCCUACGGGAGGCAGCAGUGGGGAAUUUU
rnacentral:rRNA from 1 species